AUCCAGCUGACGAGUCCCGAACGAGACGAAACGCGCGUCCUGGAU
rfam:Schistosoma curassoni strain Dakar, Senegal genome assembly, scaffold: SCTD_contig0001784